rnacentral:sRNA from 1 species
UUUUAUCCCUGAUGGAAGCGGCAUCUCCCGAUUUAGAAAAACAAGGCUUUUUUUAGCCGUAGUUUUUGUUAAUCGGGAAUAUAGGGGACAGCAGGAAACCAU